rnacentral:rRNA from 1 species
CAUCAGUUUUAUUCUGACUGUUAAAUUAAUUACUUCAUAAAAUUAUAUGGAAACAUAUAAAUGUUUUUCAUUCCAGUAAUUAAAAUUAUUAAUAUAUUUAUUUUUGAGAUAUUUAAUGAAAUUAACAUAGAUUAAAAUUUGUGCCAGCAUUCGCGGUUAAACAAUUUAUUAAUAUUAAUUUUUUAAGUCAAUAAUUAAAAUUUUUGCAGGUUUAUUUUAUAUUUAUUUAGGUGGAAUUUAUAUUUGUAUUAAAAUUCUCAUUUUAUGUUUAUGAAGUUUUUAUGUUAGACUAGGAUUAGAUACCCUAUUAUAAUUAAUGUAAAAUUUAAGCUUGAAUAGUAUUAGUUAUGUUCUUUAAAGCUCAAAGAAUUUGGCGGUAAAUUAUCUUUUUAGAGGAAUCUGUAGAUAAAUUGAUAAACCACGAUAGUUUUUACUCUUUAUAUUUAUUUGUAUACCGCUAUAUUAAGGAAUGUUUUGAUAAGAUAUCUUCUUUUACUUAAAAAUGAUUUAUAUUAGGUCAAGGUGCAGUUUUUAAAGAAGUUUCUAUGGGUUACUUUUUUUUUAAUUUUUAGGUUAAAUUCCUAUUUAGGUAUUUUUUAAUAAGGAUUUAAUAGUAAAUUUGAUUAAUUUAUCAAUUUGAAUAUUUGCUCUAUUUUAUGCACAUAUCGCCCGUCACUCCUGAUUUAAGUUAGGAUAAGUCGUAACAAAGUAACUUUACCGGAAGGUAAAGUUAGAAUUAAAUU